GGGUGAUUAGCUCAGCUGGGAGAGCACCUCCCUUACAAGGAGGGGGUCGGCGGUUCGAUCCCGUCAUUUUUAAUCAAUUGGUCGCAGGUUCGAAUCCUGCACGACCCACCA
rnacentral:tRNA from 1 species